GGCUGGUCCAAUGGUAGUAGGUUAUCACAACUUACUAACAUUAAUGUCACUGAAAUUGGGAUAACACCCCCCAUUGCUAAAUGUAACUGGCUUAAU
rnacentral:Y_RNA from 1 species